rnacentral:sRNA from 12 species
GUACUUGACAUUUCCAUCUUUAUCAACCCUUAAGGGGGUGACACU